rnacentral:lncRNA from 1 species
CCGUUUGGCUUUCUUUGGUUUUAAACCAACUCCUCUUUAGCAUUCAUUUUUACGCUACUUUUCUUUUCAGGUCGCAUUGUACUAUAGAGCCAGAUUGUCAACUGCGAUAAACUAGCAUAACUACACUGAAGGCAAGGAAACUUCCGGUUUACACUAGCUGAGGAUCUCGCUGAUAGUUUUACCCUCUUCAGUCACGAAAAGGUGGAUGUCAGAUUUCAACAGCAUAGAGCAAAGGAGUGGGGAAAAGAGAGGUGUGUUUUUAAGCAGGCCAAUAGAAUGAAAUACCCCUAUAGCUCACACAAGGAGGAUGUAAAAGCAGCAAAGAGUCCUGUGGCACUUUAUAGACUAACAGACGUAUUGGAGCAUGAGCUUUCGUGGAUGAAUACCCACUUCGUCAGAUGCAUGUACAGGGAGGAUGCAGCUUUUCAAAUGACAAAGGUAUUUCCUGAGAGAGCCCAACCUCAAGGCUAUGUCUGCACUAGGGAUUUGUCCCAGUUUCAGUCAUCAGCAGCCCAGCCACUGAUGAUGUGGCCCAGUGCAAACCCCUAGAGUAGACGGGAUUGUUAAACUGCAAUUUGCACUGUUGCAAUUUAUCCUGGUUUCAAGCAAGGGUGAACCACACCCAGGGCCGACUCUAGGCACCAGCGCUCCAAGCAUGUGCUUGGGGUGGCACUUUUCAAGGGGAGGCACUCCGGCUCCUUUUUUUUGUUUUUUGCUUAGGGUGCAAAAAGCCAGGAGCCGGCCCUGAGUGGAGGUGAGCUGCGGCAAUGGGGGGCGCGGGGAGGGCUGCAGGAAGUAACUCUGGGUGUGGGCAGAGGAACUGUUCCCCCCCAGCUCACCUCCG